AAUUUAUUUUUCAGCAAAUUUAUCAAUAGUAACAAGAUUUCCUCCACUGAGUACUCGAAAGUGUCUCUGCAGUUUAAGAUAUAUAUACAUAAGGGCUGAACCAUCUUACUUUUACAUUAAUAUAAAAACCAGAUCGACUUGCAUCGUUCAUUCUUUAACCUAUUAAGUUAAUGGGAAUUAACUUUUCACUUGGUUAUCUCUCUACGCUUGAACUAUGAAUACUUUUUUGUCAUUGCUAUGAAUUGCUUGUCUGAGAUUUUAUAAUUAAGACAACAAUUGAGGAAACAUGAUGAUAUAUUUAGUUAUUAAACUAAGUAGUAUAUUUUUCAUGAUUGCUAUCGUGGAUUCGGAAACUUUCCUGUGCAAACCGCCCCAGAAUGCGUGAACGGGAACUGCAAUCUAUCACCAGUACACUGGACAAAUCGGAAACUUAACCUUGACGAAUAUUUGCGCAAAAAAGAGUUUCCCAUUACCUGCGAAGCUGAGAGAGAUGAAAUUAAGCAGAUGAAAGACACUAUAUUGGAAUUUGAGAUGAAACUGAUUGAAUUUGAAAAAGAAAUAAAGCUGCUGAAGAAAACAUCAACAGCUCAAAAGGAAGAUGAUAUUGUUCAAAAUGAAACCAAAAUGGAUUUCAAUUAAAAGGAAUUGCAAAAUCAGAAAAGAUGUCAACCUCUACUAAGUAAUAGCAUUCCGUAUGGAAAAAUAAGUUGUACUGAUUCCAAUCGCCAAGGGUCUUAUUGUAUGGUUGAAUGUCUGCAGAACCAUGUCAUUCAGGGAAAAACUAAUUUUGUUUGUGGAGAUAACUUCAGUUGGUCUCCUAAUAUACCAAGCUGCGUUUGCGAAAAGUGUAAAACAGGCGAAUAUUGUGAAUCAUCAACAUCUUGGAAUGUUUUACAACAACAGAUAAUAAGAAGAAGUGAGAACGAAUUAUUGUCGAUAAAUUAUGCCGGUCAUCAAAUACAGUGUCGUUCGUCACAAGGAUUAUUCUUCAGGGAUAUAUUUGAAUGUAUCGAUGCUGAAACUGGUCAAUCUGCUAAAUGCUAUAUCACAACUAAAUCAACCACCAUAAAAGCAGUGGCAAAAUUAUUCAGACAAAUGAUGAAGUAACAAAUAUACCCGGAGCCAUGUGACGUUUCAAAUUUGCCGACAGAUUGCUAAUGCUGAUGUAUAUCGUUUGGAAUACAAAUUUCGAAAUAGUCUUGUAAAUAUAUGAGCUAAACAAACACUAUAAAUAUUAGAUGCUGAACGUGAACAUGCUUAACGAAGGUAUUGACUGAGAAAAUGCUUGGUUGAAAAACUUUUUAAAGACAAAGCAUCAAAUGAUUUAUAUUUACCAAAAUUUCUAAAUAAUUUUUUUUUGGUUUUUCACUGCAAAACGAUUAGUAAUUACGGCUAUUAGUAAUUUCCAACUCAUCACCAACAUUUUUUUUUGUCUCAACUAAAAUCGACUUACAAUAAAAAAAAUGUAUGUAUUUCGGAAUUUGUCUUGCUUUUAGUUGAAAUUGGCUUGAGUGAAACCCGUAACUUUUUAUAAUUGGCCAAGCAUAUACAGCUUGAAAUCAAUGUUGGGUAGCUCUGAGACCAGAAUGUUUCCUCCGAAUGGCGCAGAAGAAACGAGUAUGAAAUCAGGAAGAUCCUUUUGUCUCACUUUUGUUAGGUGUUAACAUACCCUAAAAGAACUUCAUACCAAAGAAAGCGGUUACACGUGGCAAAGGUGACAUUAUAUUAAAGAAACAGGUUGAAUUGUAACAGAAGAGAUUUGGUAAAAGAAGGGGACAUUCAUCUCCUCUAAACUGCGAAGAUAUGGAACCGAUUCUGCCUCUAUGUGCACAGUCAAUCUGUCAUAUAUUGAAUUUUUAAUUUAUUUUCUUAAGAUAGCACUAUUUUAUACUAUUUUUAACUCACUUCAACACGAAGUUUUCAAAAAUAAUCGGGUAGCGAUAUUGUCGUGGUUGGGUUUGAUGUAGGGGCGAAAAACUAAAUCCAAAUUUCAUGUACACAAUUGGAGAUUGUUGAGUCGUUAGAAGGGUAUUACUUAUUUUUCACAUUCCUUCCUGAAGUUUAAGUGGCCCGAUCUUUCAAUCAAUUUUUUUUUUCAUUUCUAUCCAUGGGAACACUGUUUUGACAUUUGACCUCCGUGUCUACAUAAUUUAGCU